rnacentral:lncRNA from 1 species
GCCUAUUCCUAACACAGAAGAGGAAGACAGGAUCUCUGCUUCAGGGAGCCUGUAGGGUCUGUUAAAGGCAAUGACAUGCCAGUGAGCCAGGGCACAUUUCCACUUAGCCAGAGGCCAACGUCACAAAGGAGGUGGCGUUUUGGUCGAGCCUGCUUAUAAUCCUAGUGUCUAUAGAUUUUAUUAAAUCAUUAGAGUCAUUCUUCAGGUAGAAACGAACCUUCCUUGACUUCAUAAAUUAUCAGAUGUCUGGAAUUCUGAAUUUUAUCCCUUCAAGUCCCUCCACCAGAACUUCCCAGCACGUCCAUUUUCUUCUACAGCGUGAGGGAAGGGUCAGGUUUAGCAACAUUGUCUUGGCAAACAGAUUAGCCCUCUCCAUUUAGGAAGGAGGAAGGAGGCUGCUCUCGCGGCCACAUUUCCUGGAAGACUGCCGUACUGAGUUCCACGUCCCAGGAAACUCCGCAGUCCUGAGCAAAUGGAAUGGCUGGUCACCUGUUCCUGCUCUGGUGGGCACUCUCAUCUCAUGCGCUCCACUCAGGCUGUCUCUGAGCCAACGCAGUGCCAAUCUUUCCAGGUGAAUACAAGACAACCAGCCCUCCCUGCAAUUGGCUGAGCUAGUGUAUUGGUAAUACGGGCCGAAGACUGUGAUCUCUUUCUAGAAACACCUGGCUGGUGACAGACACACAGGAAGAAAAAUGGAAUAAACACAACUAGCUUCCCGUCAAGUUCUGGUGGGGGCCACCCUCACC